rnacentral:lncRNA from 1 species
AUCCCCACUCGUCUAGGGAGAGACCUGGUGGGAGGAUACUGGAUCACGGGAGUGGUUCCUCCAUGCUGUUCUCCUGGUAGUGAGUGAGUUCUCACGAGAUCUGAUGGUUUUAUAAGGGACUCUUUCCGCUUGGCUCCUCACUCUUUUCUCUCCUGCCGCCAGGUAAAGAGAGUCUUUGCUUCCCCUUCAUUUUCUGCAAUGAUUAUAAAUUUCCAGAGGCCUCCCCAACCAUGUAGAACUGGAGAAGAGCAGGCUUAUUUAAGAGAGAUCAGAUUUUUUUAUACAGUAUCAGAUUUGUACUCCAAGUCUUUCAAAACUUGACAGAAGGGUCAUCCAAAGCUGCCUUCCUGCUUUCCAGGUAUGAAUCCAGAGCUGCAGUCCAUAAGGCCAUAAGAAAUAUAGGCAUGGGUAUAAAGGGACAUGGAAGCCAAAAAGCCAUCAUCUGGCCAUCUGAAUCUGGCCCUGCAAUUGUCUCUUCACUCAUGAAUACGUGAUUUUACUUGCCAGCAGAAACAGCUGACAGAGGAUAGCCUCUGCCUCCCAUCUGCCUUCCAACCAAGCAAGUAUCAUUUGAUGACUUUUCACCUCUGCAGAAUAGUACGACACCAUAAAAGAGGGGUGGAAAUGGGGUUGAGAUCUACAGCCUAAGUAUCCCUCACUGACUCCCAAUAUAGCCAGGUGAUUUGACUGGUUAUUUAUUCUUGGCCUCCUUCAAGGUUUUCACCUGACCCACACAAACCUUGGUGUCCCCGAGGUUCUAUCCUCAGCCAUGGCUUUUCUUGCCCAACAGGCUAACGGAUGAUUCAUACUUGGAGAUUCGUACUUGGGAGAUCACCUCCAUUCUCUCGCCCUCAGCUAGUAUUUAACUCAAUAUCUGUAGCUAACACCUCUCCCCUGAACUUCAAAUUAAUAUAUCCAACUCUCUGCCAGACAGCUCCAGUUAGAUAUUCCAGGUAAUGUGAAGUCAACCUAUCACUAAGGCUGUACUUGUUUCUCUUCUUAUUGCGAUUCCAGUUACUAUGAAUGUCACCAUCAUCGACCCAGGCACCCAGGCUGCAUUCCUCAACUAUAUGUAGAGCUCAUUCCUUUGCCUCAUCUCUCAUAUUCGCUAUCCAAGAACUACCUGUUUUGUCAUCUAAAUCUUUCUCAUUCAUCUUGUCCUCUCCAGCCCUGCUACCACUGUCCUAGUUCAAGCCCCUGUCGUUUCCCACCUAGAUUUCUGCAGCAGCUUCCUAGUUGAUUUUCCUAGAUCCAGUCUUCAACUCAGCUCUGUCUUCUGUGUAGUUGACAAUGAUGGUAUUAUACACAAGCUUGAUUACAUCAGCUACCUGCUCAAACCUGUUCCAUGGUUCUUCAACACCUGUUGCAAUGGCCUUAAACUCUGCUGCACAUCAAAAUCUAUAUAGAGUC